rnacentral:rRNA from 1 species
CAGUAGCCGCGGGAAUACGUAGGGUGCAAGCGUUAAUCGGAAUUACUGGGCGUAAAGCGUGCGCAGGCGGUUCGCUAAGACAGAUGUGAAAUCCCCGGGCUUAACCUGGGAACUGCAUUUGUGACUGGCGGGCUAGAGUAAGGCAGAGGGGGGUAGAAUUCCACGUGUAGCAGUGAAAUGCGUAGAGAUGUGGAGGAAUACCGAUGGCGAAGGCAGCCCCCUGGGCCAAUACUGACGCUCAUGCACGAGAGCGUGGGGAGCAAACAGGAUUAGAUACCCGAGUAGUCCCUGUCUCUUAUAC